rnacentral:piRNA from 1 species
UGCUGAGUGCUUCCUGUGUGUUGAGUGA